rnacentral:rRNA from 1 species
AUUGAACGCUGGCGGCAUGCUUUACACAUGCAAGUCGAACGGCAGCGCGGGCUUCGGCCUGGCUGCGAGUGGCGAACGGGUGAGUAAUGCAUCGGAACGUGCCCAGUAGUGGGGGAUAGCCCGGCGAAAGCCGGAUUAAUACCGCAUACGACCUGAGGGUGAAAGCGGGGGACCGAAGGGCCUCGCGCUAUUGGAGCGGCCGAUGUCGGAUUAGCUAGUUGGUGGGGUAAAGGCUUACCAAGGCGACGAUCCGUAGCUGGUCUGAGAGGACGACCAGCCACACUGGGACUGAGACACGGACCAGACUCCUACGGGAGGCAGCAGUGGGGAAUUUUGGACAAUGGGGGGAACCCUGAUCCAGCCAGGCCGCGUGCGGGAAGAAGGCCUUCGGGUUGUAAACCGCUUUUGUUCGGGAAGAAAUCCUCUGGGCUAAUACCCCGGGGGGAUGACGGUACCGGAAGAAUAAGCACCGGCUAACUACGUG